GACGAACGCUGGCGGGAUGCCUUACACAUGCAAGUCGAACGGAGUGGCGAACGGGUGAGUAAUGUAUCGGAACGUGCCCAGUAGCGGGGGAUAACUACGCGAAAGCGUAGCUAAUACCGCAUACUAUUGGAGCGGCCGAUUUCGGAUUAGCUAGUUGGUGGGGUAACGGCUCCACAAGGCGACGAACCGUAGCUGGUUUUAGAGGACGACCAGCCACACUGGGACGGAGACACGGCCCAGACUCCUACGGGAGGCAGCAGUGGGGAAUUUUGGACAAUUGGGGAAAACCUGAUCCAGCCAUCCCGAGUGGGCGAUGAAGGCCUUCGGGUUGUAAAGCACUUUUGGCAGGAAAGCGGUACCUGCAGAAUAAGCACCGGCUAACUACGUGCCAGCAGCCGCGGUAAUUC
rnacentral:rRNA from 1 species